UACGGAGGGUGCUAGCGUUAUUCGGAAUUACUGGGCGUAAAGCGCACGUAGGCGGCUUUGUAAGUUAGAGGUGAAAGCCUGAAGCUCAACUUCAGAAUUGCCUUUAAGACUGCAUCGCUUGAAUCCAGGAGAGGUGAGUGGAAUUCCGAGUGUAGAGGUGAAAUUCGUAGAUAUUCGGAAGAACACCAGUGGCGAAGGCGGCUCACUGGACUGGUAUUGACGCUGAGGUGCGAAAGCGUGGGGAGCAAACAGG
rnacentral:rRNA from 1 species